UGAGGAAUAUUGGGCAAUGCCCGAAGGGUGACCCAGCAACGCCGCGUGGAGGAUGAAGGUCGUAAGAUUGUAAACUCCUGUUAGAGGGGAAGAAUAACUAAGUUUGGAGCUUAGUAUGACUGUACCCUCAGAGAAAGCCCCGGCUAACUACGUGCCAGCAGCCGCGGUAAUACGUAGGGGGCAAGCGUUGUCCGGAUUUACUGGGUGUAAAGGGCGCGCAGGCGGAAUGGAAAGUCAGUGGUGAAAUCCUACAGCUUAACUGUAGAACUGCCUUUGAUACUUUCAUUCUUGAGUUCGGGAGAGAGAGACGGAAUUCCAGGUGUAGUGGUGAAAUACGUAGAUAUCUGGUAGAACACCAGUUGCGAAGGCGGUCUCUUGGUCCGAUACUGACGCUGAGGCGCGAAAGCGUGGGGAGCAAACA
rnacentral:rRNA from 1 species